CCAACAGUUACAUAGUUAUCGGUAGCUAGCCAGGAGAAUAUUUUUCCCCACCCGUUGCCUCUGCCGGAGUUUCCAUCUUGGGAUCGCGGAUCCUUCACCAACUGCUUAUCGGGAUUCGGGACUUCCAGAAAAUCAGUAAGUUAAACUACCACUCCCUCAGAUGUAGAGGCCCAGCUGUCUCCCAAUCACUCCAAGGAUCAUCGUGCUUGGAGAGACUGCAAAAAAAUGGAUGCUGUCGAUCAAGGGGAGGGUCGUAACCCCACCUGGUGCUCACAUGGUUGCCUUGGCCGCCCUCUUCGCCUGUUACAAUGUAUUCAACCUAGAGUAUUAGGUGGAAGCCAGCACAACACUAGAGUUUGAUCAGAGGGCUCCAAAUAGGAUUCUAUGUCUCCAAGGUCAAGGCAUGCAAGAGGCCAUAGACCUUUGUCAAGUGCCAGGGGAAGUUUAUUUUCCUUUCUGUUUUAAAUGUUCAUGCAAAUGUUAAAUAUUUAUUUUUUAAUGUUCAAUGUUUUAUUUUAUUUCAAUAUUGCCAUAGUGUCAUUUAUUGCUCUUUAGAAUGGGGUAAUCAGUUAUUUGCACAACUUCAAAGUAGUAAAUUUUUUUUACUGUAUUGUAUCAAUUUGCAUUAUUGUUCCAUUAUAGCAACUAGUCAUACGGAGCUAGUGAAUGAACUAGUAACAGUUUGCUUUGUAACUUUACAAAUCUUGUAAUGAAAUAGGCUCGUUGUAUCAAUUUGUAUUAUUGUUCCGUCAUAGCAACCAGUCAUGCAGAACUAUUGAAUGAACUAAUAACAAUUUGCUCUGUAACUUUACAAAAACUCGUUUUAUAAAAUUUUCUUCAGUCGUAAAUUAAAGGAACACGCCAACUUGUUGGGAUUUUAGCGUAUUCACCGUAUCCCCCAGAGUUAGAU